ACUGGUUUCCUGUGGUUCCUUGA
rnacentral:miRNA from 10 species